UAAAAGCAAUAGUGUCUCAGCAAUACUCAGAGAUUUCCGCACAACUGGACGGAGUACAAAGGCGCCAGAAGCAAAACAGCAUGCGCUUGGAGGACUUCAUUUGUGCAUUCAAUGAUCAUCGAUUUGGCGUAGGACAGAAGGACUUUAAUGAGGGUCAGAGAGUUAAUAAUAUCAAGAAAACCUCAAAGAAUGUUGCUGCUAGUACAAAUGAAGUGCCAAAGUGUGUCUACAGCAACCCCAGCAAGAACCUUGCUGGGGAAUUUGAGGUAUGAAUUCCAUCUUGGAACAAUGUUUUUUUGUC